CCUACGGGAGGCAGCAGCUAAGAAUAUUGGGCAAUGGAGGAAACUCUGACCCAGCCAUGCCGCGUGAAUGAAGAAGGCCUUCGGGUUGUAAAGUUCUUUUAGUCGCGAAGAUGAUGACAGUAACGACAGAAAAAGCACCGGCUAACUUCGUGCCAGCAGCCGCGGUAAU
rnacentral:rRNA from 1 species